AUUAUAAAAACCAUCUGUAUAACCCCGAUAAUAUGGUUCGGGGGUCUCUACCAGGAACCGUUAAAUCCUGAUUACAAAAGCUAUUUUUG
rnacentral:ncRNA from 1 species